rnacentral:pre_miRNA from 1 species
UGGACAUAUUAUUGUAUUCGACUGUAUUCGAGGCAUGAAACAGGGGAUUACACUAUUUUUAAACGGAAGGUGAAUCAAUUAACAUAAUAGACUCCU